AUAACAUGAUUUUAAGAUCUAUAAGCAGCAGGAUUUCUCUUAAUAAACGGCUCUGUUGAAUUAUCGACAACCUCAUCUUUUUAUUUUCAACCGCCACUGGCCCAUUUGUGCUGUGCUGGUCACACAAUACAUCUCCAGAGAAAGAAUUGAUGUGAUGGAACCUGAAUGCAGAUUUGUAGAGGAAGAAUACCCUUUCUUUAUUUUCCUUAUUGGGGGUAAAGGGAAUUUUCUGCGUUUUCUUUCAUGAAAAAUGUGUUUUGCAUGAUUACACAUGUAUAAUGUAUGUCAAAUUGCUUGUCUUCUCAAUGGGAUUGAAGGGAGAGAGAGAAUUUGGAACUCGAAAUUUGAGAAAAGGCAUGUUCCAAUUGUUUUUGCAUGUAAUUGGGGGGAGGAAUAAAAUAUUAAAUAAAAAGAAAGCAGAAAAUAUAACUCCACUUUCUGCUUAUUGGUGGUAGAUGGGAGAACCAGGUGAGAUAGGGGGGCCUGAUACCCUCAUGAGGACAAAGGAAAUGACUAGGCAUCAAAAACAAAAAUUGGGGAAAGAACGGACGAUUGAUCUCCGCGGGGGAGGUCCGGAGUCGCAGAGCCCAGAUUAGGAGGCAGGCAGUGGAGCUCCCUGGGGUGAGCAGGUGGUGGGGGUGGAAUUUGAGCUCUGGGUGGAGUUUGGUGGCUGGUGAGCUGUCCCGGGAUGGGGGGCGGGGCUUCUGGUCUGCGAGGAGGUGGGAUAUCAUUGGAGGCCAGCGUUGUUUCUGGAGCCUGGGAGGGCGGGGCCGGGCUCUUGGGCCUGGGAGGAGCUGCCCAGAAAGGACUUGCUGAGAGUCUGAGGAGGUCACCUUUUUUUCCAAGAAGCCAAACGGCUGUGUACUAGAAGGACCCCCCGAGAUCUGAGCGGGAUCUUGGCCAGCCCCCUGCUUUUCUUUGGAUGCCUUUUUCCCUGGGCCUUACCCUUCCCGACGGACCUCUGGCCAGCCCCCUGCAAAGACAGUGAAGGGAAAGAUGUCUCCCCCUCUGGGAUCCUUCUCUCUCUGCUCAGCCUGAAGAGGACCAAGACCUGGCCCAGGCAGGCAGCCUGAGGGCAUGGCCCCCGGAGCCCACCGGCCCCCCUGGCAGGUGAGUGGGGGCAAUGGACCAAGGUCAGGACGGUAGGCAUUUACACAGAUACAGAGGAUUGGCCUGUCUUACCUAAUUAUCUUUUUUUUUUGGCUUUUUUGGGGGUCAAGUGACUUGCCCAAGAUCACACAACUAGGAAGUGUUAAGGGUUGGAGGUCAGAUUUGAAUUCAGGUCCUCCUGAUUUUAGGGCUAGUGCCCUAUCCAUUGCACCACCUAGCUACCCCUAAUUAUCAUUUCUUUAAAUUGAAAAAAAAAGGCACACAAAAAAAGAGAUAGUAUAUGCUAGUAACAACACUGUCCUGCUCUCUUGUUUUAAACUUUCAUAAUCUCUUUUCCAUCUCUAGCAAUAACAUCCCCCCCCCAAAAAAAAAAAAAACACAACUUAGUGCUUUUGUAGUUUUGAUUUUUAAGUUUUUCCUUCCUUAUCAUGACUGUCCAAGAAACACACUUUCAUUCAUUAAUUGAUUAUAGAUGACAUUUCUUUGCUCUCUUUUUGCAAUCCUAACACACAUUCCCUUCUCCCUUCUGUUUCCUUCUUCAAAACU